rnacentral:rRNA from 1 species
AUGUCCUCUAGAAAGCAUUUAUCUGGUAGUGCCAAAAGGAAGAGAAAAAGGGAAAAAGAUGAAGAGGUAAAAUCCCUGAAAGGAUCACUUAACAAUUUUUUCAGACCUGUUAGUUCUUCUAGAGAUCCCCUGGAAUUGGCCAUAGUAAGUGUUGAAGAACAACCAACUGAGAAUACAAAUUCUACUGAUGAUGAUAUGAAUGAGGGUAAUAACAAUUCCAGUGAGGAAGAAAAUGUAACUCAUUCACUGAGUGUCGAUAAACAACAACCAUUCACUGUUGACAUUUUUGAUCCACGAAACUGGGAUAAUCUGGAUGAUAAGGCUAGGGAUAUUUUAGUUCAGAAGGGUCCCGUAAGAAAUGAUGAUAUUGUGUACCCUCCAGAUAUUAAUUCUAGACAUUUUUCACAAUCUUAUUAUUCCAGA